rnacentral:lncRNA from 1 species
UUUAAGCAUGGCCAAAAAUAUAGCUGUUGCAUAUUUUCAACUGUAACCAGUCAAAUCCCAGAAAGGAUAAACUCCGCAGAGUCAAAAAUAUAAGGGCUAACUGGACUUCUACAGCUAGAGAUGACAACUGUUAGACCCCUGACAAAGCUGAUCAGCUGAUCGACAAGCGGCACGGCAAUGGCGAGGGUUUUGGCAUGAUGGCCUUGUCAUUGGCCUAUGUGCGAGGGAAAAUCAACAUGCAAGACAAUGCGGGGGUGUUGUUAAUGGCAACAAACUGUUGCUAAGGCAAGUGAGACGGACUACACUUGUAUUUGAGGGCUAAGGUGUGACGGACUACACCAAAGCAAGAGUGGGCUGCGUACAAGCAAGGCCAAGACCUUGACGGAACUAGGCGGGCUGGAUGGGAGCUUGACAAGGCUAAACGGGAAAGACCUCGGCGCUAAAGUGAGGCAGCUUAGUGCCAAGGCAUUGACAUUGACAAUGUGAUGUUACCAUGACUUAGGUGUGCGGGCUGGCACCUAAGUUAUUUGUGGGCAAACGACUUGGCAAAGGGAAGGGCAUCAAGGCUUGGUGACUUGAUGUUAAAAUCAGCAUGGGCAACGGGCAGACUUGAUCAAGUAGGGGCGACUUGACAAGAACAAGCUACUGUGGCAGCGGAUUGGCGUGCGGCUAAGUCAAGGGUGACGAGCUGUGGUGAUGACAUUGAGCGGAAGCAGUGUCAAAAGCUAAGGCUGGGCGCAAAGCCAGCCUUAGGCGUGCAGCAGCUGGCCAAGAAACACGCACAUGCAGCGCACAUGGAAUGGUUUUCAAGUGUGCUGUGCACAUGCCAUGCAGUUGGCGGUUACAACUGCCUUUGUCCAAGAGUUGCUGAUUAUAGGCUGAGUCUAUGUACGUUUUUAGGCAUGUUAGAGACAUGUCCUACACGUUUUGAUCAUGGGGAUCAUGUCCUAUCAGUUGGGGGAUGUCAACUGAACAUAGGAAACACUUUUGGGGCUGACUACAUUAUAUAUAUGUGUGCUAGCAGCCUUAAAAACGGGCUAAGUACCUAGGGAGGGAAAAUGUCUGAAAGAUAGGCAUAGGGUUGUCUAUUUUAUGGCUUGAGCAUGGCAAAAUAUGUGCCAUUGCCUUACCAAACGAGGGGCAGCACGAGCGAUCUUAGGCAUGGGCUUUUAUAGGGCAGAUUCGUGCAAGUGUAGGCCAUUUUUGUGAGUUGGUGCCUGUCAAGGGUGGCAGCACCUUGCCUAACUCGAGAAUUUCCUUUGUAAUUGAUUUAUUAUAAAAGGUUGGGAAAGGGUUCCCGUAAAUCUGUGUUGUCUUUGUUUAUUCAUGUUGCCUUAAAUUUAUUCUAAGUGUUAAACCUCGAAAGCGAACGAAAAUUGGGUAAGGCUGAGGUCAAGUGGGGACUUGACUGCCGCACAUCGGGCAGCAUUUUUGGCGGACAGAAAACGCCCCUGUGACAAUUGGUAUCAGAGCAAGCUAGGUUUGGUUUGGUUUGGUUCGUGACGAGGUCGAGAUGGCCAUGGACAAGACUACAAGGCAGUGGGUCAGUGUUCCUGUUCGUGGAAGGGACUGUCUUGGCUUAGAAAUUCAGAAAAGGCAAGGAAGGCAGUGAUGCAGAAAUUUCGAGUUUGUGGGUGCCAAAAAUCAGUGUGGGUUGUUUCAAAUCAGUCAGUUGGCGUGCUGGAUUUGCUGUGGGAACGACGGGCAAGAAGCGCAAUGAGAAAACAAAAACGUUGCACUUGAGGGCAAGGACAACGUAAUUCUCAAAGGGGUGCUGAACUUGUGAUGUCUUUGCAAAUAGCAGCAUGUGUUGGGAUCUAUUCGACGAGGGCGUCGAAUUCAACUGGUUGGGGUGGUUUGUUAGACCCCUGACAAAGCUAAUCGGCAAGCGGCACGGCAGUGGCGAGGGUUUUGGCAUGAUGGCCUUGCCAUUGGCCUAUGUGCGAGGGAAAAUCAACAUGCAAGACAAUGCGGGGGUGUUGUCAAUGGCAACAAACUGUAGCUAAGGCAAGUGAGACGGACUACACUUGUAUUUGAGGGCUAAGGUGUGACGGACUACACCAAAGCAAGAGCGGGCUGCGUACAAGCAAGGCCAAGACCUUGACGGAACUAGGCGGGCUGGAUGUGAGCUUGACAAGGCUAAACGGGAAAGACCUCGGCGCUAAAGUGAGGCAGCUUAGUGCCAAGGCAUUGGCAUUGGCAAUGUGAUGUUGCCAUGACUUAGGUGUGCGGGCUGGCACCUAAGUUAUUU